GAUUUCUGGUUCGGCGCACUUGGCCCGUCUCGGUUUACGGGAUUGCGUGCCGGUGUGCGCCAUCCAUCCUUCGAGAGAACACUUCGGCUCUUUACUGGGUCGGAGUGCUAUCUCGAUCUUUUACUUUGAAAAAAUUAGAGUGUUUAAAGCAGGCUUGCGCUAUGAAUACAUUAGCAUGGAAUAAUAAUUUAGGACUUUGGUCUUAUUUUGUUGGUUUCUAGGACUAAAGUAAUGAUUGAUAGGGACAGUUGGGGGUGCUAGUAUUCAGCGGCCAGAGGUGAAAUUCUUGGAUUCGCUGAAGACUAACUUAUGCGAAAGCAUU
rnacentral:rRNA from 1 species